GUAAUGUCUAAUCUUUACAUUAUGAGUUCUUUAAGUACUAUGAGAGGCUAAACCCCCUGAUGCUAGGGGAGUGGUCCUGAUGUUAUCGCAUGCUAUGAAUUUGAACAAAUGAUUUCUUGAUUACUAUGUUACUUAUUUCAAUUCAAUUGUGUGAUGUUAUUAUGCUUUUGUAUCGGACAAAUACAAAUUGAUCUAUGACUUUCAAUAAC
rnacentral:lncRNA from 1 species